rnacentral:lncRNA from 1 species
UAGAAAUGAAAUGACAUUGGAGUUCCUAAAAGAAAAGAGAAAGAUCAAAUUAUAGGGCUUGCACUGAGUUUCAAAGAGGAUUGGCAAGAUGGGUUGUAGAAUUAAAUGACAGGCAGAGUGUGUAUGUGGAGAAGGGUUGGUGUAAAUGUAUGUGUGUUGGUGUGUGUGUACACAUGCAUGAGAGAGAGAGGAGGGAAGCAACAGAGGGCUAUUGAUGCAAACCUAUAGCCUAAUUAAUUAUCCACGACAGAAAAAGAAAUUCCUCCUACCCUUGCAAGUUGUCUUGUCUUCCUCUGAAUACAAAGUGUAUACCAACAGAAUCUACCAGCCAACCAGAACAGACCCACUUGGUGAUCCACCACAUGCCAUGUGACACUUUCCUCAGCCAUGGGAGGGGGCAACUCUCAUGUGUAGCUCUUGCUGACCCUUUAAGAAAACCCAUUCCGCAAAGUGGUCUCUUUAGAAUCUAUCCUUACUGGAACUGUGUGUGACCUCUAAAACGGCUGUGCUGACUUGCUUUAUAGCUGAGCAUGUGGUUGAUCUUGGAGUAUGUUCUGUAUGCAGAAGAGAAGAAUGUAUACCCUGUGGUUGUUUUCCUUCUAACAGUCAGAUCCUUCAGCUGCUGGUCUGUUGGAGUUUGCUGAAGGUCCACUCCAGACGCUGUUUGCCUGCGUAUCACCAGUGGAGGCU